rnacentral:rRNA from 1 species
GCAGUCGAACGGUGAACACGGAGCUUGCUCUGUGGGAUCAGUGGCGAACGGGUGAGUAACACGUGAGCAACCUGCCCCUGACUCUGGGAUAAGCGCUGGAAACGGCGUCUAAUACUGGAUAUGUGACGUGACCGCAUGGUCUGCGUCUGGAAAGAAUUUCGGUUGGGGAUGGGCUCGCGGCCUAUCAGCUUGUUGGUGAGGUAAUGGCUCACCAAGGCGUCGACGGGUAGCCGGCCUGAGAGGGUGACCGGCCACACUGGGACUGAGACACGGCCCAGACUCCUACGGGAGGCAGCAGUGGGGAAUAUUGCACAAUGGGCGCAAGCCUGAUGCAGCAACGCCGCGUGAGGGACGACGGCCUUCGGGUUGUAAACCUCUUUUAGCAGGGAAGAAGCGAAAGUGACGGUACCUGCAGAAAAAGCGCCGGCUAACUACGUGCCAGCAGCCGCGGUAAUACGUAGGGCGCAAGCGUUAUCCGGAAUUAUUGGGCGUAAAGAGCUCGUAGGCGGUUUGUCGCGUCUGCUGUGAAAUCCGGAGGCUCAACCUCCGGCCUGCAGUGGGUACGGGCAGACUAGAGUGCGGUAGGGGAGAUUGGAAUUCCUGGUGUAGCGGUGGAAUGCGCAGAUAUCAGGAGGAACACCGAUGGCGAAGGCAGAUCUCUGGGCCGUAACUGACGCUGAGGAGCGAAAGGGUGGGGAGCAAACAGGCUUAGAUACCCUGGUAGUCCACCCCGUAAACGUUGGGAACUAGUUGUGGGG